AUACGUAGGGUGCGAGCGUUGUCCGGAAUUACUGGGCGUAAAGAGCUCGUAGGUGGUUUGUCGCGUCGUCUGUGAAAUUCCGGGGCUUAACUCCGGGCGUGCAGGCGAUACGGGCAUAACUUGAGUACUGUAGGGGAGACUGGAAUUCCUGGUGAAGCGGUGAAAUGCGCGGAGAUCAGGGGGAACACCGGGGGCGAGGGCGGGUCUCUGGGCAGUAACUGACGCUGAGGAGCGAAAGCAUGGGGGGCGAACAGGAUUAGAUACCCUGGUAGUCCAUGCCGUAAACGGUGGGGGCUAGGGGUAGGGGUCUUCCACGACUUCUGUGCCGUAGCUAACGCAUUAAGCGCCCCGCCUGGGGAGUACGGCCGCAAGGCUAAAACUCAAAUGAAUUGACGGGG
rnacentral:rRNA from 1 species